GACAGCAGUCGCCACGGUAAUACAGAGGGUGCGAGCGUUAAUCGGAUUUACUGGGCGUAAAGCGUGCGUAGGCGGCUUUUUAAGUCGGAUGUGAAAUCCCUGAGCUUAACUUAGGAAUUGCAUUCGAUACUGGGAAGCUAGAGUAUGGGAGAGGAUGGUAGAAUUCCAGGUGUAGCGGUGAAAUGCGUAGAGAUCUGGAGGAAUACCGAUGGCGAAGGCAGCCAUCUGGCCUAAUACUGACGCUGAGGUACGAAAGCAUGGGGAGCAAACAGGAUUAGAUACCCCGGUAGUCCCUGUCUCUUAUAC
rnacentral:rRNA from 1 species